UCCACUCAGAAUUCUCCUUCAUUUGUCAGGUACAAGGCCAAGAUACCAAAAUAGCACUUGUGUAGGACUGCAACUAUUACUGCUCAACUGUUUCUGGGCUUUAUUUUUUUCACACAGCUCCACCACUUUCAAAGUGUCUGCGGACGUGUGGAGGAUGUAACGCAGACCGGGUGACGGUGCUCAGAAACCAUCCAAACAUUACGCAUCAAGACAAGAAUUUUAGAUGUUUCAGGGAGUGGGCGCGAGUCCCGACUUCUCUGGCCAGUAGAUUGCCUGAUGCCAGCCACAUCAGUGGGGGCUCAGACGUUCUCUGAAUGCUGUGGGUCACCAGCUUGUGCAGGACAGUUCGGCCAAAAGGGCAGAUGUUCAACUGUAAAGGAAGUAUUGAGAAUACGCGUCUGUAAAGUGCAAAUGGAUGCCGUCGGCUAGCAGUUAGAAAUCCAUCACUUACACUAAGCAGCAAACUAUUUUUCAUACAUAUACGGGGGUCUUCUAAGAGACACGGUUAUUGAGUUUCAUGUGCUUGGAAAGAACUGCAUCUAAAUAAUGCUGGAAACACCGAAAAUGUCAUUUUGAGAGGACACAGUGACCCUGCAGGACAGGCUUCGGCUUUAGAGGCAACUCCUCUCCCCCAUUCUGGCAUUUCUCCUUGUGUAAUCCUCAACAGGUCCUAACCAAGGUGUCAGUCACCUCAUCUUCAAAGCGGGAGAAAUUAUACUGAACUUAAAGGGUUGUUUUGAGGAGUUAAGAUAAUGUGUGAAAAUAGCUGAUCCCAGGUCCAGGGGUGGUAGGAAUUCUACCUGGAACCUUUUGUUAUUAAAAAAGUAAAACAGCACAUAUGGUGUUUAUGAUUUAGCAUUUUACGCUCUUGUCAGAAUUUUUUCCAGUCUUAUAUGGAAGAUGAUAGGGAUACUUAGUAGAACUUCUGUUACUGUGCUUACUGGGUAUCAUAGCUGAUUUCACCUUGUGGGGCAGCUAUCUUAAAAAUUAAGCCUGAAAAUAAAAAUAGUAGAACUUGUGAUCUGUGCCAAGAAGUGAGCUGCAUAUUCUACGUCUAUAAACAAUCAAUAUUCCAAACAACCGUAGGCCAUUGUCCCCGCUUUGCAGAUGAAGGCACUGGGUCUGGAAAAGUUUGGGUCACCUGGCCAAAGCCACAAGGAGAUGACAAUGGAGGGCUUUAGGAUAGCAGAGAUCACAUUCUCAGUCACUAAAGUACACUGAGUUUGCUCAAAAGCGCCUGUGACUGUAACAUCAUACCUCAGAGUGGGUAAGGUUGUGACAGUCAUACUUGGCGUGGGGAAGACUGUGGAGAAGGCAAGAGGGGGCGGGAACUGUUGGUUUUGUUGGGACACAGCCAUGGUCAUUUUGCUCCUUGGGUCCCAGUGCUCAGUGGACACCACCCUCAGCAGAUGCCCUGUCCUGGAACCACCAACUCCCCUCCCAUUUAGUCCAUGCUCAUCUCCAAACCCACCAUCUCUUGGUUCACUUCUGGGGCAUCAUAUUGCUCUUGGAACCUGAGCGAGCUCCAGUUAUCUUGAAGUCAAGCCCAAGCCUGGGAGGGUGCGUGCAGAGUCCUCUGCUCCCUCCUCAUCUUCCACCUCCCGUCAGGCCCUCUAAAAGGUACUCCCUUGGGUCACCCCGACCUGUGCUCCUACCCAUGUGCCUUCCCCAGACAGCACCAUGCCCGUGCUGGACUGUGGCCAGCCCAGCCAGCUACGGGGGAAACCACGAGGCAGUUCUGGGACAGGAAUGUGGUGGCCGGUCCUGGCUCAGGGCACAGCUGCUCAGUGGAAAGGCCGUGGGCUUUUUACCCGCCCCUGUUUUCUUUCAUCUAUUCAGGAGUUUUUGAAAUGGAAUGGCAGGUGGCGGGAACACAGCAAGUAAUCCAACACAACCCUGCUCUGGAGAACUUGGACUUUACUGGAGGAGACAGACUCAGAAAUGAAGACCGAGAAUUUGUGGGACGGGUCCGGGCGGCCGAGUCUACUGAGCACCCUGCGCAGGUUCCAGGGCAGGGAGGAGGCUUCCAUUAACUAAUCGUCUCUAUCGCAGACCACAAAUAUUCUAUGAGGAGUUGUGACAGGGUGCAAAGGGGUAACUGUAAAUUCAAAAACAGAAUCCAGACCACAGAAAACAUUAACUAAAGGUCAAGCAGGGAAAAGGGGAGAAGAAGACUGGACAAUAAAACAAAAAUGUGAGAUCA